rnacentral:rRNA from 1 species
UACGUAGGGUGCGAGCGUUAAUCGGAAUUACUGGGCGUAAAGCGUGCGUAGGCGGUCCGCGAAGUCUGAUGUGAAAGCCCCGGGCUCAACCUGGGAACUGCAUUGGAAACUAACGGGCUCGAGUGUGGCAGAGGGGGGUGGAAUUCCACGUGUAGCAGUGAAAUGCGCAGAUAUCAGGAGGAACACCAAUGGCGAAGGCAGCUCGCUGGGACGUGACUGACGCUGAGACGCGAAAGCGUGGGGAGCAAACAGG